AACCUUCCCAAAACUGGUGGAUAGCCCUCCGAAAGGAGGAUUAAUACACCGUAAUAUAAUGAAGUGGCAUCACUUUAUUAUUAUAGCUCCGGCGGUUUUGGAUGGGCGUGCGCCUGAUUAGGUAGUUGGCGGGGUAACGGCCCACCAAGCCUUCGAUCAGUAACUGGUGUGAGAGCACGACCAGUCACACGGGCACUGAGACACGGGCCCGACUCCUACGGGAGGCAGCAGUAAGGAAUAUUGGUCAAUGGACGCAAGUCUGAACCAGCCAUGCCGCGUG
rnacentral:rRNA from 1 species